rnacentral:rRNA from 1 species
GAACGCGAAGAACCUUACCAGGUCUUGACAUCCCUCUGACCGCUCUAGAGAUAGAGCUUUCCUUCGGGACAGAGGUGACAGGUGGUGCAUGGUUGUCGUCAGCUCGUGUCGUGAGAUGUUGGGUUAAGUCCCGCAACGAGCGCAACCCCUAUUGUUAGUUGCCAUCAUUCAGUUGGGCACUCUAGCGAGACUGCCGGUAAUAAACCGGAGGAAGGUGGGGAUGACGUCAAAUCAUCAUGCCCCUUAUGACCUGGGCUACACACGUGCUACAAUGGCUGGUACAACGAGUCGCAAGUCGGUGACGGCAAGCUAAUCUCUUAAAGCCAGUCUCAGUUCGGAUUGUAGGCUGCAACUCGCCUACAUGAAGUCGGAAUCGCUAGUAAUCGCGGAUCAGCACGCCGCGGUGAAUACGUUCCCGGGUCUUGUACACACC